CAAUGGUUAGGAAUCUUCCGUGUGUUAGAAAUGUUUGUCUGAUUCAUACCGUGGGUUAGGACAAAUGCUUAUAACACAAAUAUAUAUUUUUCAGUUUAAAAAUAUAAAAAUAAACAUUCAUGUAUCUUUCCUGCCGGUUCAAAAGAAUAUAAGAUUCUUCUUGAAUUAACUAGCUUCUCCACAUAUAUUACAAAAUUAGAUUUAGACUGAAAUUGGAAUAGUUUCAAAAUUUAUAUAUAGUGCGGCAAUUAUAAAUAGUGUUAUUUAAUUGGAUCAUAUAAGCUCCCAUUAGAUUUAGCUUUAAAGUUCUAAACAUUAUCAUAAAUAUUUUUAUUGGAGAAUAUUAAAAGUUAAAUAUUUUUAAGUAUAUUGGGAUAAAUUGAACUAGAGAAGUUAGUGUAUAGAUACAUACGUGAGUGAGUGUAUGGAAAACGAAGGGAAGUCAGAGACCAAACAACUGCUAAAGCUUGAAGAAAAACAAAGGGAAGUGAGAGACAAAACAACCAAAUCUAGAAAAUAUUUAGCCUUUAAAGAGAAGCCAGUAGUCCAACUUUCUAAAACAACGCAAAACAAUUACAUAGUUGAGCAGAGACACCUUACCUUCCAUACAAAAUUCGAUGAAGGCGAAGGCGACGAGAAGCCCAUUGGCAUCUGCAAUACGAUCAAUGGCGAAGUUUGUGUAUACAUACAUACAUGUGUGCGUGUGUAAUAAGAAGGCAUUAGGGUUUGGAAGGAGUAAUCCAAGGUUUUCUUUAGUCGGUCGAGAGAAGAAUGAGUUGUAGGCUUUUCUCUUAUGGUGGAGAUUGUCGAGAGAAGAGGGAGUUGUAGGGUUUUCUUUUGUGGUGGAAAGAGAAAAAAUUUUGUUUCAUUAGGAGAUAUGUGCACAGUAGCAAAACCAAAUCAGAAAAGGAUAAAUAUGAAAACUCAUGUGACAAAAAUGAACAGUGUUUUGAAGUCUCUACUUUAAAAGAGUAGAUAUUUGAG
rnacentral:lncRNA from 1 species